GGGCCUCGAGUGGGGGCCGCAGAGCGGGCGCGGAGGGCGGGUGGGUCCGCAGGGACCUCCGCGUGGGGUUUGGCUGGCAGUGGCCGCAGCCUGGGCCUGGCCGCUGAGCUUCCCUGCAAACAACACUUUCUCAAAGCCCUUGAAAACUGGAACUGACGCUACAUAGAGUCUCUGGAGCUUCGAAGAGACAGCAGGGUACAGCCAGAGAAUGCCCCCGGAAAACAAAGUCAGAUAUGGGGCCAGGAUGGUGCCCGGCACAUAGCAGACUAUGGCCUCUCCGACAAGGAGAUAAAAACAGCCAAGGGGCUGAAGAGUCUGAGGAGCACUGCCCGGAGAUAUUCCCUUAGAGAUGGGGCUCAUCUUCCCAGAGCGGAAAUGCUGUUGUGACACCUGGGUGGCUCAGUGGUUGAGCAUCUGCCUUCAGCUCAG